GGGCGUUUAGCUCAGUGGUAGAGCGUUUCGUUGACAUCGAAAAGGCCAUAGGUUCGAUCCCUAUAACGCCCA
rnacentral:tRNA from 1 species